UACGUAGGGGGCUAGCGUUGUCCGGAAUCAUUGGCGUAAAGCGCGUGUAGGCGGUCCGGUAAGUCCGCUGUGGAAAGUCGGGGGCUCAACCCUCGGAUGCCGGUGGAUACUGUCGGGCUUGAGUACGGAAGAGGCGAAGUGGAAUUCCGUGGUGUAGCGGUGAAAUGCGCAGAUAUCAGGAGGAACACCAAUUGCGAAGGCAGCUCGCUGGACGUUACUGACGCUGAGACGCGAAGCGUGGGGAGCAAACAGG
rnacentral:rRNA from 1 species